rnacentral:lncRNA from 1 species
UAUCACUUCAUCAGAGUCAUUCCAUCCUCGUAUCAUUGUCUCCAAAUCACUAAAACCACAUUCCAUUCCAUCUGAGCCACGGAUAACAGAUGCUCCAUCUCCAUCUUCGAAUCUGUCAUAAACAAUCUGAUCCAUAAAAGAUAUUGAAUUGACAAGCUGGAUGGAUGUAGGCGACGUUAAUGCGGGGACAUUGAAUAAGUCACAUCCUUUGGGAAAGAUGUCUUCGUUCAUUUAUAGCAUGUGUUGGUGGUUCAUGCUGUAACAGAACACCAUGAUGUAACGUGUAAUAUGAAACGAGCCAUUUAUGGUAACACAUGUACCGGUAAUUUUGGAAUAUAUAAUAUU